rnacentral:rRNA from 1 species
AAAAUCUGGGGCUCAACCCCAGACCUGCACUCGAUACGGGUUAGCUAGAGUUUGGUAGGGGAUCACGGAAUUCCUGGUGUAGCGGUGGAAUGCGCAGAUAUCAGGAGGAACACCAGCAGCGAAGGCGUGAUGCUGGGCCAAUACUGACGCUGAGGAGCGAAABGGGGAGCGAACAGGAUUAGAUACCCUGGUAGUCCACNCCGUAAACGGUGGNCACUAGGUGUGGGAACUUUUCAACGGUUUCCNCNCCGCAGCUAACGCAUUAANUGCCCCGCCUGGGAGUACGGUCGCAAGMMUAAAACUCAAAGAAAUUGACUGGGGCCCGCACAAGCAGCGGACGAUGUGGCUUAAUUCAUUGCAA